rnacentral:rRNA from 1 species
GUUGCUGGGUAUAGACCCGAAACCAGGCGAUCUAUCCAUGAGCAGGUUGAAGGUUGGGUAACACUAACUGGAGGACCGAACCCACUGUCGUUGAAAAGCCAGGGGAUGACUUGUGGAUAGGGGUGAAAGGCUAAUCAAGCCUGGUGAUAGCUGGUUCUCCCCGAAAGCUAUUUAGGUAGCGCCUCGGACGAAUACCAUAGGGGGUAGAGCACUGUUUCGGCUAGGGGGUCAUCCCGACUUACCAAACCGAUGCAAACUCCGAAUACCUAUGAGUACUAUCCGGGAGACAGACUGCGGGUGCUAACGUCCGUAGUCAAGAGGAAAACAAUCCAGACCGCCAGCUAAGGCCCCAAAAUCAUAGUUAAGUGGGAAACGAUGUGGGAAGGCAUAGACAGCUAGGAGGUUGGCUUAGAAGCAGCCACCCUUUAAAGAAAGCGUAAUAGCUCACUAGUCGAGUCGGCCUGCGCGGAAGAUGUAACGGGGCUAAAACUAUGUGCCGAAGCUGCGGAUUUGACAUUAGUCAAGUGGUAGGGGAGCGUUCUGUAAGCCGAUGAAGGUGUAUUGAGAAGUAUGCUGGAGGUAUCAGAAGUGCGAAUGCUGACGUGAGUAACGACAAAACGGGUGAAAAACCCGUUCGCCGAAAGACCAAGGGUUCCAGUCCAACGUUAAUCGGGGCUGGGUGAGUCGACCCCUAAGGCGAGGCCGAAAGGCGUAGUCGAUGGGAAAUUGGUUAAUAUUCCAAUACUUCUGUGUAAUGCGAUGAGAGGACGGAGAAGGUUAAGUCAGCCUGGCGUUGGUUGUCCAGGUGGAAGGAUGUAGGUAUGUAUCUUAGGCAAAUCCGGGGUACUCUAUACUGAGAUCCGAUAGCAAGCUGUACUUGUACAGUGAAGUGGCUGAUACCAUGCUUCCAGGAAAAGUCUCUAAGCUUCAGUUACACAGGAAUCGUACCCGAAACCGACACAGGUGGUCAGGUCGAGUAGACCAAGGCGCUUGAGAGAACUCUGCUGAAGGAACUAGGCAAAAUGGUACCGUAACUUCGGGAGAAGGUACGCUGUUGUUGGUGAUGGAACUUGCUUCCUGAGCUGACGACAGCCGCAGAAACCAGGCCGCUGCAACUGUUUAUUAAAAACAUAGCACUCUGCAAACACGAAAGUGGACGUAUAGGGUGUGAUGCCUGCCCGGUGCUGGAAGGUUAAUUGAUGGGGUUAGCGUAAGCGAAGCUCUUGAUCGAAGCCCCAGUAAACGGCGGCCGUAACUAUAACGGUCCUAAGGUAGCGAAAUUCCUUGUCGGGUAAGUUCCGACCUGCACGAAUGGCAUAAUGAUGGCGGCGCUGUCUCCAGCAGAGGCUCAGUGAAAUCGAAAUCGCUGUGAAGAUGCAGUGUACCCGCGGCUAGACGGAAAGACCCCGUGAACCUUUACUGCAGCUUGACACUGAACUUUGACCUUACUUGUGUAGGAUAGGUGGGAGGCUUUGAAGUUGGAACGCUAGUUCCAAUGGAGCCGUCCUUGAAAUACCACCCUGGUAAUGUUGAGGUUCUAACUCUGUCCCGUUAUCCGGGACGAGGACCGUGUCUGGUGGGUAGUUUGACUGGGGCGGUCUCCUCCUAAAGAGUAACGGAGGAGUACGAAGGUGCGCUCAGCGUGGUCGGAAAUCACGCGUAGAGUAUAAAGGCAAAAGCGCGCUUAACUGCGAGACCCACAAGUCGAGCAGGUACGAAAGUAGGUCUUAGUGAUCCGGUGGUUCUGUAUGGAAGGGCCAUCGCUCAACGGAUAAAAGGUACUCUGGGGAUAACAGGCUGAUACCGCCCAAGAGUUCAUAUCGACGGCGGUGUUUGGCACCUCGAUGUCGGCUCAUCUCAUCCUGGGGCUGAAGCAGGUCCCAAGGGUAUGGCUGUUCGCCAUUUAAAGAGGUACGCGAGCUGGGUUUAGAACGUCGUGAGACAGUUCGGUCCCUAUCUACCGUGGGCGCUGGAAAUUUGAGAGGAUCUGCUCCUAGUACGAGAGGACCAGAGUGGACGAACCUCUGGUGUACCGGUUGUGACGCCAGUCGCAUCGCCGGGUAGCUAUGUUCGGAAGGGAUAACCGCUGAAAGCAUCUAAGCGGGAAGCCUACCUCAAGAUAAGAUUUCCCUAGGAAUUUAUUCCUCUAAAGAGCCGUUCGAGACUAGGACGUUGAUAGGUUGGAUGUGGAAGCAUAGUGAUAUGUGAAGCUGACCAAUACUAAUUGCUCG